UACGUAGGGGGCAAGCGUUGUCCGGAAUUAUUGGGCGUAAAGAGCGUGUAGGCGGUCCGGUAAGUCAGCUGUGAAAGUCAAGGGCUCAACCCUUGAAUGCCGGUUGAUACUGUCGGGCUAGAGUCCGGAAGAGGCGAGUGGAAUUCCUGGUGUAGCGGUGGAAUGCGCAGAUAUCAGGAGGAACACCGAUAGCGAAGGCAGCUCGCUGGGACGGUACUGACGCUGAGGUGCGAAAGCGUGGGGAGCGAACAGG
rnacentral:rRNA from 1 species